ACGGGGCGAGGAGGGGGACGCGGCGCCCGGUGCGGCGGCGGAGGCGCGGGGGGAAGUUGUCAGAAAAGUCAGGAGUGAAACUUGUCUCACCAGGUCUUCGAAGCUCCGGCGGUGCUCCUUGCCCUGCCAGUCCAGGCGCCGCGGGAUCAGCUGCGGGAGGGACACGGGGACGGGGGCGGCYGUCAGAACCCGAGCGACCCCUCCCCGGGGAACCCCCCCUCUCCCGGUACCCGCCCGUGCCCCCCGGGAUGGAGCCCCCCGGCAGCCUCCCCCGGGCCCCGCCGUGGGGCAGCCGCGCUCCCGCCGGGUGUCCCGGGCGGAGAUGGGCUGGGUUACACGGGGCAGGGCAAACGCCGACCCCGCCGUCCCGAGGGCUUCCCCCGUCCCGCCGGGGCAGGCGCCUCACCUGGUGCUCCUCCAGCUCCUCCACCAGUACCUGGGGACAGACGGACACACAGAAACACAGACACACACAAAGGACGUGAGUCCGGCGCCGGCAGCGCAGCGGCUCCGCCGCUCCGUCCCGUCCCGUCCAGUCCCAUACCGUCCCGUCCCACCGCCGCCCGCCCGGCCCGGCCGGAGCGCCGGCUCCGCGCUCACCUGGGCGGAUUUCUUGCAGGGUCCGGACUGCAGGAACCGUGCGAUCAGGGCAGGUUCAUUGCUCAGCUCAUCAGUGAAAGAGAAAUGAAGUGCCAUCUCAUCUAAGCUGCAAAUUCCAGUGGCUUCCCAAUAGUAACAGCUCUCCCACCUUCCCAGCAAGACCACAGAGCCUCCAGAGCUGCAGAGCUGAGCUUCCUGGGAGAGACACAGUGUGAAACUGCUGUUCUCAGAAUAAAUUCCCAGGCAGGAAAAGCUCACACUGAUCCCACUCUCUGGAGAGGUAAUGUUUCUCCCACCUGUCUUCAGAGCCAAGAACUGCAAGCUCAUCUUUACAUGCAUGAUGGGAAGGCAAAGGARAAAACACAGAUGAUGUUUUAUAAUAUGCCCUGAAAGUACAAAUCCAUCUUCCUGAACUGAAGAGAAUUCCAUGUCAGGGGAAAAGCAGACCCAUAAACACUGCCUGGCACCACGUCCAGGUGCAUUCCAGUGUCAACAGCUCCUUAAUAUAUCCAUGCUCAGAAAUGCCAAAUCCAGCUGUGGAUGAUACACCCAGGAAAAGGGGCAGCUCUGUGUCCCUGUGUGCUCUGGGCUCUGCCAGCAGAAGGAUCAGGGSAAUGAUGUCACUGUCAGGUCCUGAUUUCCAGCUUUGUACCUCAGAGUGCCUGGAAUCCCCCAAGUUUUAUUGCAGCAAAAUUACUACUGGGUGUAAAUGACAAGGAAACCAGAGAAAGUGGAUUAGAAGGGAUGAGGUUAUGGAGCAUGAACAAAUACUUCAAAACAACUGUGGAGGAGGGAAGAGAAGGUUCUGCUCUGACCCUGGAAAUGAAAGAAUAAAGGACCCCUUGGCUGGAUGGUGACACUCAACCCAUGAAGAGACACCAGUGCCAGAACACAACGGGCUGGGCUGUGCCAUGGGCACAGAGAGCCCUGAGAAAACACUGCUUCACCAUCAGCAAGGAAUCUGCUGGGACAAUCCAUCAGRAGCUGAUGGAGCUCACAGCUGGACCUAGCAAAAGGCAGUUGAGAUAAGGAGCUGCCACAGCAAGGACCUGCAAGAAGUGGUGCAGGUAAGAGACAAGACCAAGUUUACUUUGCAAAUCUCUUGCUGAAUUGUUGAGGCAAAGAAUUGUUCAAAGAAUUCAGUAGACCWCAAAACCAGAUUUCUGGCCCAGCACCAACCCAUGCUGAGCAGCAGAGGAACCCAGCAGUCCACGGGGCUGGAGGGUGAUGAUCUCCCUGGGCUCCAUCAUUCCCCAAAUCUUGGGCAUUGCUGUGAGCAAGCCCUGAGAGGGACCCUGGAACAGCACAGAGCACCUGUGGAAGGGCUCCAGCACAGAGCAKGAAGGAGCUGGAAGGAGAAAGCCAUUCCUGCAGGCUCUCCCUGGGAAGGUACCACAGUUGCUCUGUCCUCACAGUGUGGCAGUGACCCUCCCACCCUCUGGAGCCAAGCAGAGCUCCUGCAGCUGUACUUCCAGCACAUCUGGCUCUGUUCCCAGCUUUAGUGGAGCYAAAGUACCUC